GUGCUCACUUCAGCAGCACAUAUACUAAAAAUUGGAACUAUACAGAGAAGAUUAGCAAGGCUCUUAUGGGUUUUCAUAAGAAUCUAGAUGAUUGUUU
rnacentral:snRNA from 1 species